rnacentral:rRNA from 1 species
UACGGAGGGUGCUAGCGUUGUUCGGAAUUACUGGGCGUAAAGAGCGCGUAGGCGGCUUGUCAAGUUGGAAGUGAAAUCCCAAGGCUCAACCUUGGAACUGCUUUCAAAACUGGCUUGCUUGAGUUAUGUAGAGGAUAGUGGAAUUCCCAAUGUAGAGGUGAAAUUCGUAGAUAUUGGGAGGAACACCAGAAGCGAAGGCGACUAUCUGGGCAUAUACUGACGCUGAGGCGCGAAAGUGUGGGGAGCAAACAGG